rnacentral:rRNA from 1 species
UAGCUACAGGCUUAACACAUGCAAGUCGAGGGGAAACGACAUCGAAAGCUUGCUUUUGAUGGGCGUCGACCGGCGCACGGGUGAGUAACGCGUAUCCAACCUGCCCACCACUUGGGGAUAACCUUGCGAAAGUAAGACUAAUACCCAAUGAUAUCUCUAGAAGGCAUCUGAAAGAGAUUAAAGAUUUAUCGGUGAUGGAUGGGGAUGCGUCUGAUUAGCUUGUUGGCGGGGUAACGGCCCACCAAGGCAACGAUCAGUAGGGGUUCUGAGAGGAAGGUCCCCCACAUUGGAACUGAGACACGGUCCAAACUCCUACGGGAGGCAGCAGUGAGGAAUAUUGGUCAAUGGACGAGAGUCUGAACCAGCCAAGUAGCGUGCAGGAUGACGGCCCUAUGGGUUGUAAACUGCUUUUAUAAGGGAAUAAAGUGAGAGUCGUGACUCUUUUUGCAUGUACCUUAUGAAUAAGGACCGGCUAAUUCCGUGCCAGCAGCCGCGGUAAUACGGAAGGUCCGGGCGUUAUCCGGAUUUAUUGGGUUUAAAGGGAGCGUAGGCCGGAGAUUAAGCGUGUUGUGAAAUGUAGAUGCUCAACGUCUGCACUGCAGCGCGAACUGGUUUCCUUGAGUACGCACAAAGUGGGCGGAAUUCGUGGUGUAGCGGUGAAAUGCUUAGAUAUCACGAAGAACUCCGAUUGCGAAGGCAGCUCACUGGAGCGCAACUGACGCUGAAGCUCGAAAGUGCGGGUAUCGAACAGGAUUAGAUACCCUGGUAGUCCGCACGGUAAACGAUGGAUGCCCGCUGUUGGUCUGAAUAGGUCAGCGGCCAAGCGAAAGCAUUAAGCAUCCCACCUGGGGAGUACGCCGGCAACGGUGAAACUCAAAGGAAUUGACGGGGGCCCCGCACAAGCGGAGGAACAUGUGGUUUAAUUCGAUGAUACCCGAGGAACCUUACCCGGGCUUGAAUUGCAGAGGAAGGAUUUGGAGACAAUGACGCCCUUCGGGGUCUCUGUGAAGGUGCUGCAUGGUUGUCGUCAGCUCGUGCCGUGAGGUGUCGGCUUAAGUGCCAUAACGAGCGCAACCCCUCUCCUUAGUUGCCAUCAGGUCACGCUGGGCACUCUGGGGACACUGCCACCGUAAGGUGUGAGGA